rnacentral:rRNA from 1 species
CCUACGGGGUGCUGCAGAGAGGAAUAUUGGUCAAUGGACGAGAGUCUGAACCAGCGACGCCGCGUGAGUGAAGAAGUAUUUCGGUAUGUAAAGCUCUAUCAGCAGGGAAGAAAGAAAUGACGGUACCUGAGUAAGAAGCCCCGGCUAACUACGUGCCAGCAGCCGCGGUAAUACGUAGGGGGCAAGCGUUAUCCGGAAUUACUGGGUGUAAAGGGAGCGUAGACGGUAAUGCAAGUCUGGAGUGAAAGGCGGGGGCCCAACCCCCGGACUGCUCUGGAAACUGUGUAACUGGAGUGCAGGAGAGGCAGGCGGAAUUCCUAGUGUAGCGGUGAAAUGCGUAGAUAUUAGGAGGAACACCAGUGGCGAAGGCGGCCUGCUGGACUGUAACUGACGUUGAGGCUCGAAAGCGUGGGGAGCAAACAGGAUUAGAUACCCCUGUAGUC